rnacentral:rRNA from 1 species
GCAAGUCGAGCGGAUGAAGGUAGCUUGCUACCGGAUUCAGCGGCGGACGGGUGAGUAAUGCUUAGGAAUCUGCCUAUUAGUGGGGGACAACGUUCCGAAAGGAGCGCUAAUACCGCAUACGUCCUACGGGAGAAAGCAGGGGACCUUCGGGCCUUGCGCUAAUAGAUGAGCCUAAGUCGGAUUAGCUAGUUGGUAGGGUAAAGGCCUACCAAGGCGACGAUCUGUAGCGGGUCUGAGAGGAUGAUCCGCCACACUGGGACUGAGACACGGCCCAGACUCCUACGGGAGGCAGCAGUGGGGAAUAUUGGACAAUGGGGGGAACCCUGAUCCAGCCAUGCCGCGUGUGUGAAGAAGGCCUUUUGGUUGUAAAGCACUUUAAGCGAGGAGGAGGCUACCUAGAUUAAUACUUUAGGAUAGUGGACGUUACUCGCAGAAUAAGCACCGGCUAACUCUGUGCCAGCAGCCGCGGUAAUACAGAGGGUGCGAGCGUUAAUCGGAUUUACUGGGCGUAAAGCGUGCGUAGGCGGCCAAUUAAGUCAAAUGUGAAAUCCCCGAGCUUAACUUGGGAAUUGCAUUCGAUACUGGUUGGCUAGAGUAUGGGAGAGGAUGGUAGAAUUCCAGGUGUAGCGGUGAAAUGCGUAGAGAUCUGGAGGAAUACCGAUGGCGAAGGCAGCCAUCUGGCCUAAUACUGACGCUGAGGUACGAAAGCAUGGGGAGCAAACAGGAUUAGAUACCCUGGUAGUCCAUGCCGUAAACGAUGUCUACUAGC